rnacentral:rRNA from 1 species
UACGUAGGGUGCGAGCGUUGUCCGGAAUUACUGGGCGUAAAGAGCUCGUAGGCGGUUUGUCGCGUCGUCCGUGAAAACUUGGGGCUCAACCCCAAGCUUGCGGGCGAUACGGGCAGACUGGAGUACUGCAGGGGAGACUGGAAUUCCUGGUGUAGUGGUGAUAUGCGUAGAUAUCGGGAGGAACACCAGUGGCGAAGGCGGCUCUCUGGGCCUUUCCUGACGCUGAGACGCGAAAGCGUGGGGAGCGAACCGG